UACAGAGGGUGCGAGCGUUAAUCGGAAUUACUGGGCGUAAAGCGCGCGUAGGCGGCUUUGCAAGCCGGAUGUGAAAUCUCCGGGCUUAACCUGGGAACUGCAUUCGGGACUGCAUUGCUAGAGUAUGGGAGAGGGAAGUGGAAUUUCAGGUGUAGCGGUGAAAUGCGUAGAUAUCUGAAGGAACAUCAGUGGCGAAGGCGGCGAGCUGGCCUGUGACUGACGCUGAGGCGCGACAGCGUGGGGAGCAAACAGG
rnacentral:rRNA from 1 species